AACAAAUUAUCAUAAAAAGUUACAUAUAUUAAAAUACAAGUAUUACAUUUUCUUACUACUAUAUUUUUUUUUGUAAUAGAUACAACUUUCAUAUAGAGAUACAAAUUUAGAUUACCAAAGACACAAAUUAUGUAUACGUGACAAAUAUUUCUGUAAAGCCAACAAAUUCAAACAAUCAGAAGUAUCACAAAUUAUUUUUGCAACUUCUUUACAAGAAUUCUCCAAACACAUAACUACUCCGGUUUCACCUUCAAACAACAUCACCCUUUCAUCCUUAUCGAUUGCGGUGAUUAUAAGUAGAUACAUUCCAAAACCGAGCACACUUUUCUUAACCUCAAUAUACAGCUUCACACCCAUAUAAUUUUGAAUCAACAAUGGAGUUGUAUUACCUUCAACAACAUAUCGAGCCUUAAUUUUUUCGCUAGUUUCAUCAAUUUAAAGUUCAAUGGUAAUCACCGGAAUCAAUUUUUCAUAAUUAACAUAUUUGCCUAUAACGAUGCCAUCACCCUUAUAGCCACGUGUUUGACAUCAUUAAUCCAAACAUCAGAAUGACGUAAAAGAACAAAAAUAUUCAUUGAAAAUAGAUGAAACAGAAAUGAUAAACAAUGAAUAAAAAAAAG
rnacentral:lncRNA from 1 species